UACAGGGGGGGCAAGCGUUGUUCGGAAUUACUGGGCGUAAAGGGCUCGUAGGUGGCCAACUAAGUCAGACGUGAAAUCCCUCAGCUUAACUGGGGAACUGCGUCUGAUACUGGAUGGCUUGAGUUUGGGAGAGGGAUGCGGAAUUCCAGGUGUAGCGGUGAAAUGCGUAGAUAUCUGGAGGAACACCGGUGGCGAAGGCGGCAUCCUGGACCAACACUGACACUGAGGAGCGAAAGCCAGGGGAG
rnacentral:rRNA from 1 species